AACGAACGCUGGCGGCAUGCCUAACACAUGCAAGUCGAACGAGACCUUCGGGUCUAUUGGCGCACGGGUGCGUAACGCGUGGGAACCUGCCCUUAGGUUCGGAAUAACUCCCCGAAAGGGGUGCUAAGACCGGAUAAUGUCUUCGGACCAAAGAUUUAUCGCCUUUGGAUGGGCCCGCGUUGGAUUAGCUAGUUGGUAGGGUAUAAGCAUACCAAGGCGACGAUCCAUAGCUGGUAUGAGAGGAUGCUCAGCCACACUGGGACUGAGACACGGCCCAGACUCCUACGGGAGGCAGCAGUGGGGAAUAUUGGACAAUGGGCGAAAGUCUGAUCCAGCAAUGCCGCGUGAGUGAUGAAGGCCUUAGGGUUGUAAAGCUCUUUUACCCGGGAUGAUAAUGACAGUACCGGGAGAAUAAGCUCCGGCUAACUCCGUG
rnacentral:rRNA from 1 species